rnacentral:lncRNA from 1 species
GACCUCCUCACUUCGUGUCGGGCCCCCUCGGAGCUCUCGGCUCUCUGGGCCGUUCUUUGAAGGCAGCCGAUCUUGUCCUCGCUGCGAUCCGACCGCUCAGGCCCAAGCUGCCUGUCCUAUUUCUGGCGUCUCCAUUCAAAGGACGGUGAAGCCUCUAGAAAUGUUUUGUAACCCAGUUUACAUUCGCUUCACCUUUUUCUUUACCUAUUAAAUGUGAACGUGAUUUAAUCGAAAAACAACUCUGUAAAAGAAGCGGGGUGGGCCCUCGCGGCUUUGCGCCACCUUGCGCGGUGGAUCCGCGUGAUCUGCUGCAGUUGUAACGCUAGCUUGGCGGUGGGUCGCUGAUUCCCUUUUUGUGCUGAACGUCACCCUAAAGGCGCUGCGAAGCGCUGACACGCGUCAUCUUGGCCUCCAACCCUCUGCUGGAUCCCCGGGGAACCCUAAAGAUCCUGAAGAAGCCGCUGAAGACCCAAGGUUCCCCGGGUGAAGAUUUGCCCUCGGAACACAGCAUGUCUGCCUUGUGUAGGUCUUCAGUCCAGUUCCUGGACCAGCAUGCGAGUGAUGCCCAGGCCGCACCAGCCAUGCAGCCUAUACAGGCUAAAGAGUUAGCAAGGAGAGAAGAAAAGAAAGCACCGUUUACUCAGCCUCUUCCCAGAGAUCCUGGGCCGGGCUGCAGGAAACACCCAUCCAUCUCAUGAUGCGAGUUGAAUCCUCCUCCGGCGGCCUCGGGUUGAAGAUCUCCUCCAGGUAUUGUUCCAGCAGCACCGCUGGCCUGGGAGCACUUGGCACGAUGUGGCUCACAACAAAUAAAAUUCAGGCCAGCAGCUUUUAAAUGUGGUGUUUUCAAAAUUGCAUUUUAUUGAUUUCUUUUUAUUGUAGAAGCAGAAUAUAUUUCUGCAGGAAAUUAGAGAAGACAAGUAAGGGAA